CCUACCCCAACUUGUUUGGGACUAAAGGCUUUGUUGUUGUUGUUGUUUUCUACUUGCUUCAGUUUAUUUUCCUUAGGUAACCUGUCAGGUUUUGCAUACUGUUUGAACUGGAGGGUGGGCAGUCUUGCUAUCAACAUGUAAAGAGGUUAUCAAAAGAAGAAUCCAAAGCAUCAUCCUUUGCUCUUCCAUCUUUUGCAAAGCAGCAUCAGCUCGUGGGAGCAUAUUCAGUUGUAAGAGACUGGUCCUGGCAGCUAUUUAGAACUGUAGGUUAUAUAUGACCUGAAGCUUUCUGCUCUAGCGUCUGUGAACCUCUUUGAGGCUUAGUUGCCUCUGCAUCUUUCAGAGGGAAUGGAAGGCAUCAAAAAAAUUGGUGUCUUCACUGGAAGUUAAGGGUUUUAUGUGUUUUUAUGGUAAACAAGAAAAACUGCUUUGGUCUAAGAAUCUUUCCAUUGUCAAUAAAACUGAAGUUCCUUAGUCUCUUAUCCUUUUUCCCAUAAGUGUACACUAGUACACGAUUUGUUCCUUUUCCAAUCAUCCUUUGUAAAUUGGUCGUUGGAGGCAUAUAUAAAGUAGAGUACAAAUCCAAUUGGAAUCAAUCGUGAAUAGCGCAUCCCAAUUGCAUGAGCUACUUAUCUCAUGAAUGGAGGUUCUUCGUCCAAGCGCCAUGGCAUCAAUUCGUUUCUCAGUGUCCUUGGCAUCUGUGUUCAACCUCAAGUUGCACGCACAAUUUGGUGAGCUAUGCUUUUCAUAUGCAUUUUCUUUCUCAUCAAUGCUCCUAGAUACACAGUUUUGUUUCUUUUUGCCGAUGCUCCUUGCCCACAUCCUAAUCUCAAUAUUCCUCCCAUAGCACUCCAGCUUUCUGUGGUUUUCACAGAAUAUAUGCUGCCUGAGCCUGCAAAUAAACUAUCACGGCGGCGACUAUCUUACACUUAUUGAUAGUUACUGUUCAGCGAUGCUCGUUGAGCAACUAGUCUGAUCUAUUGGUUAUGUGACGCUCUUGCAGUUCAUGGGCACCGGGGAAGCACCUGAAAGGGUUCGUUCCUGAUAUGGUAUCCAAUGCCAAAUUUGCACUCGAGAUUUUUUACCUCGUUUAUAUCUGUGUAUAUGUGCUCUUAUGCCACGUGGUUAGAUUUGUUUCAAAGAAAUCUGUGAUUAAAAUUAGAUUAUGUUGAGGUGGUCGAGAGGGACAUCUUCCGUAUUCUUUGUUGGGAGCAUCUUUGGAGCAUAUGGCAUUUCAAUUCCUGGUCAGUGCUUUUGAUUUUGCUCUCCUUUUCAUAUUCCAGUGAUCAGAUUAACAUUAGUCACUUUCGUGCACAAUAUUCCCCUUUAGAUUGUACAUAGUGGUGCCACAUUUCGCCUCCUGGUUAAUUGCAGAUGUAUUAUCACUUUCUCGGGUGUUAGGUGCAUCAGGAUUUGUCUGCCUGGUAGAGAUGGUACUGAUCAACAGCAUCACACCAAACUUGCUGAUGUUCACCUAUUUCUUCCGGAAAAAGUUGAUGAUGCUCUCUUUCUAGGACAACAUACACCAAAACUUGCACCAGCUUAUGCUGGAUACUGUCAUUCUUCCUCAUUUGUUUGAGUCUGACUUCUAUUCAUCACAUAGGUGCUGUAUGAGUAAUUGUUGUAUAACCUUUCUUCAUCAGUGGGUGCUCUCGAGUCCUGACCACUAGAUCUGAAAAAAAUGGAUCCUGUGGUUCCCUACAUGGGAUACAUGCUAGAUGAGCUAGGACUGGCACUAGACUGUCUGCUACGAGCUCCACCUGAAAGCCAAGAUUUAGCCUAGGGCCUGCCGGUCUGGGUUGGCGAUGAUUGCUGAGGUUUGACAUCGGCACGGUCAUAAAUCUUCUUCCACCUGAUACCUGAUAGGGGAGAAAACAAGAAGGAUGGUGAUAUGCAAGCUGCUCCACAGAUCGUGUCUAAAGCUGGCUACCGAAAGUUGGGGGUGCAAUGGCAUCGCAACCCAACUCCGCACUCUGGAGAUGAGGAAUUUGGGAUAGUGAUAGGUGGAUGCGGAUGGAGGCAUUAACAUCUCUCCGCACGAUCACCAUUCUAGUUACAUACAUGCACUUGACCGGCAGUAAAGAAGCUGUUCUUUGUUCGCCGGAGCAAAUGCUCUGCUUUUUAGCAGAGAAAUUGCGCCAUUUUCUGCUGUGAUAUUCUUGUGCGCGAAGUCAUGCGAUAUUCGCGAGGGGUGAUGAAAGUAGGAAAUAUUUUUACGAGUAUUUGUAGGAAAUAAAGUUGGCAAUGGGAAAAGGACAGGGUUUUGGUCUUUGUGUCGGUUUAGUAGACUAUAAUUUAACUGUCAAUAUGAAUAUCACAGUUGGCGUUGUGUUUGCUGAA